UCCGGUCCGGCCGCGUGUCUUGUCGUAGCGGUAGCGCCCCCACCCUCGCCGUCGAACCCCUAAACCGUACGGGCGGCGGCGGCGGCGGCGGCUACAGGUGAGGGUUUGGAGGCCGCGACGGCUUUCGCGCUUUCGCCCUCCCAUUCAGGACCCAUGGAGGCUGACGACUGCGACGGGCUGCCCAUGUACAUCGAGGAUGACGAGGAGGAGGCAGCUGCGGAGAAGCAGAAGCGCCGGCAGCAGAGCCAGAAACUGCGGGCGAAGCUGCCGUGGGAGGACGAGACGCCGGAGGAAAAGGCGACGAGAGAGCUGAAUUUGGCCAUGGUGAAAAAGCUUUACGAGUACGACCCCGAGAUGAGAUCGGGCUACUACACUCGAGUUUGGUUUGUCGACUUGACAUUGAUGAAGAGAGUAAUCCCUCUAUUCCUGAACUUCAUUCAUAUACGAAGACCCAAAUCUCAAAUGCGAUCGGAUCGCUAGGUUAGCACUUGGUUAUUUUGUGGGUAAUUCAGAUACUCUUGGUGAAAAUUAGACUAGGUGGGAAACUGUCAUUAACUGUUCCUUUAGGGCUAUUCAACUAUCGCGUCGUGUGGUAGCAAUCUCAGUAGAUCAGAUGUUGAUAUUCCAUAUCUAUGCCCGCAACAGUGACCAGAAUGCUAAUAUCAACCAUUACAUCUGUGACUUCACUCCAUUAAUGAAAGGCUCAGACAAGCUGGAGAUCACUUGUGGUGUCUACAAGCUGCAAAUCAAAGUUACUUGGUCGACGUUGUUAUUGAAACGAGGAUGAUUCUACAAAUUCACAUAUUUAUAUGCUUGAUAUCAGAAUAUCCAUGGUCUUUCCUA